rnacentral:rRNA from 1 species
ACAUCCAAGGAAGGCAGCAGGCGCGCAAAUUACCCAAUCCCGACACGGGGAGGUAGUGACAAUAAAUACUGAUACAGGGCUCUUUUGGGUCUUGUAAUUGGAAUGAGUACAAUUUAAAUCCCUUAACGAGGAACAAUUGGAGGGCAAGUCUGGUGCCAGCAGCCGCGGUAAUUCCAGCUCCAAUAGCGUAUAUUAAAGUUGUUGCAGUUAAAAAGCUCGUAGUUGAACCUUGGGCCUGGCUGGCCGGUCCGCCUCACCGCGUGUACUGGUCCGGCCGGGCCUUUCCUUCUGGGGAACCUCAUGCCCUUCACUGGGCGUGUUGGGGAACCAGGACUUUUACUUUGAAAAAAUUAGAGUGUUCAAAGCAGGCCUUUGCUCGAAUACAUUAGCAUGGAAUAAUAGAAUAGGACGUGUGGUUCUAUUUUGUUGGUUUCUAGGACCGCCGUAAUGAUUAAUAGGGAUAGUCGGGGGCAUCAGUAUUCAAUCGUCAGAGGUGAAAUUCUUGGAUUGAUUGAAGACUAACUACUGCGAAAGCAUUUGCCAAGGAUGUUUUCAUUAAUCAGUGAACGAAAGUUAGGGGAUCGAAGACGAUCAGAUACCGUCGUAGUCUUAACCAUAAACUAUGCCGACUAGGGAUCGGACGGUGUUAGUAUUUUGACCCGUUCGGCACCUUACGAGAAAUCAAAGUUUUUGGGUUCUGGGGGGAGUAUGGUCGCAAGGC